GCUAGUGUGAUGGGAUUGUUUUGACACAAAAUAAACAUUACUUAAGUAUUACUGCAAUGUUACAUCACUAAAUUAUGCACACGUGUAUCCUUGUGCAGGUUUCUGUAAGG